AGUCGAACGGCAGCACGGACUUCGGUCUGGUGGCGAGUGGCGAACGGGUGAGUAAUGUAUCGGAACGUGCCUAGUAGCGGGGGAUAACUACGCGAAAGCGUAGCUAAUACCGUAUACGCCCUUCGGGGGAAAGCGGGGACCUUCGGGCCUCGCACUAUUAGAGCGGCCGAUAUCGGAUUAGCUAGUUGGUGGGGUAACGGCUCACCAAGGCGACGAUCCGUAGCUGGUUUGAGAGGACGACCAGCCACACUGGGACUGAGACACGGCCCAGACUCCUACGGGAGGCAGCAGUGGGGAAUUUUGGACAAUGGGGGAAACCCCUGAUCCAGCCAUCCCGCGUGUGCGAUGAAGGCCUUCGGGUUGUAAAGCACUUUUGGGCAGGAAAGAAACGGCACGGAUAAUACCCCGUGCAACUGACGGUACCUGCAGAAUAAGCACCGGCUAACUACGUGCCAGCAGCCGCGGUAAUACGUAGUGCGCAAGCGUUAAUCGGAAUUACUGGGCGUAAAGCGUGCGCAGGCGGUUCGGAAAGAAAGAUGAAAUCCCAGAGCUUAACUUUGGAACUGCAUUUUUAACUACCGAGCUAGAGUGUGUCAGAGGGAGGUGGAAUUCCGCGUGUAGCAGUGAAAUGCGUAGAUAUGCGGAGGAACACCGAUGGCGCGCAGCCUCUGGGAUAACACUGACGCUCAUGCACGAAAGCGUGGGGGGAGCAAACAGGAUUAGAUACCCUGGUAGUCCACGCCCUAAACGAUGUCAACUAGCUGUUGGGGCCUUCGGGCCUUGGUAGCGCAGCUAACGCGUGAAGUUGACCGCCUGGGGAGUACGGUCGUGUGGCGGAUUAAAACCCAAAGGAAUUGACGGGGACCGCACGCGGUGGAUGAUGUGGAUUAAUUCGAUGCAACGCGAAAAACCUACCUACUCCUGACAUGUCUGGAAUCCCGAAGAGACUUGGGAGUGCUCGCAAGAGAACCGGAAACACAGGUGCUGCAUGGCUGUCGUCAGCUCGUGUCGUGAGAUGUUGGGUUAAGUCCUCUGGCAACGAGCGCGAACUCCUUGUCAUUAGUUGCUACGAAAGGGCACUCUAAUGAGACUGCCGGUGACAAACCGGAGGAAGGUGGGGAUGACGUCAAGUCCUCAUGGCCCUUAUGGGUAGGGCUUCACACUGUCAUACAAUGGUCGGGACAGAGGGUCGCCAACCCGCGAGGGGGGAGCCAAUCCCAGAAACCCGAUCAGUCCGGAUCGCAGUCUGCAACUCGACUGCGUGAAGUCGGAAUCGCUAGUAAUCGCGGAUCAGCAUGUCGCGGUGAAUACGUUCCCGGGUCUUGUACACACCGCCCGCUGUCACACCAUGGGAGUGGGUUUUACCAGAAGUAGUUAGCCUAACCGUAAGGAGGGCGAUUACCACGGUAGGAUUCAUGACUGGGGUGAAGUCGUAACAAGGUAAU
rnacentral:rRNA from 1 species